UACGUAGGGGGCUAGCGUUGUCCGGAAUCAUUGGGCGUAAAGCGCGUGUAGGCGGUCCGGUAAGUCCGCUGUGAAAGUCGGGGGCUCAACCCUCGGAUGCCGGUGGAUACUGCAGGGCUAGAGUCCGGAAGAGGCGAGUGGAAUUCCUGGUGUAGCGGUGGAAUGCGCAGAUAUCAGGAGGAACACCAAUAGCGAAGGCAGCUCGCUGGGACGGUACUGACGCUGAGGCGCGAAAGCGUGGGGAGCGAACAGG
rnacentral:rRNA from 1 species